GAGCUUCUCAAUCUUAAUGGAUUUCAUCUUUCUUUCUUAAAGGUAUGUAUCAAUCAAUUGUAUUCUAUGCUUUCUUCUUCUUCUUUCUAUUCUUAUUCUUCAGUCUUCACCAAUAUGUACCAAUCAAUUAUAUUCUCUGUUUUUUACCUAAUCAAUCAAAUACAUAUCAAAUUAUCAAUCAAUUGUAUGCUUUAAACUUAUUCACACAUAAUCAAACAAUUAAUUGUAGGAAUGUUAGGGUUUGUUAUUUCGAAACAAUUAUUUGAUUGAAUGUUAGGGUUUGUGUGUUUCAAAAAAUAUAAAUCAAAUAAUCAAUUAAUUGAAUGUUAUUCAGAGAAUUCAAUUGAUUGAUACGUAUUGAUUUUAUUGUUUUUCAUCACUAAGUAUAUUAUUUUGUGUUUUCAAAAGCAUAUUCUAUUUUUUUAUGAGAAACUCGUGGUGUUGUUGAUAAGCAGACAGAAUAUUACAUGAUAUAUAAUGUAUUAAAUUUUAAUAUGUAUAACUACGAAGAUUAAUUUUUUGGCCUUUACAUUUUCUUGCCUAUGUUGCAUUAGAAUUAGCACCUUUGAUUGAUUAUCGCUGCAAAGCAAGGUUUAUAGGUUGUUGUAUAUAUAAUUGUUGUCAUGAUGCAAGUUAAGUUUAAGUUUUACAUAGAUAGAGAGUCAGUAUUUUCAUGUCCAUGUUUUUUUUUUUUUUUUGAUAAAAAUGUCCAUGUUCAUGUUCUUAUUAUCGCCAAUAUCCAUGGCCCAAGUCUUUUAUUGAACGACACUCAAGGUAGAUGAAGCCCCAGUGUCAGUAAAGUCUAUGUUUGUUUACUGCUCAAGAAUUGUAUGACCUCUUCCUAUUUAUGAUAGAUAGUACAAUGUAUUUUGUUGGGAAAUAAUAUAGUUACAAAAAAGAUUAGAUGAUUGCGUCAAUGUUGUACUUGUUGGCUACACAUGAUGAUAUGUUGAAAAUGGAUUAUUCUGGUUGGUUGAUAAACCCUUAUUUCUAAACUUGCAGGUUGUGUCUGAAUCACAAACUCUGUUUCUAAAUGCUAUUAGGGAUAUGGAAGGUGUCCGGGUGGCAGGAGUUCCUAGAGCGGGUGGAUUUGUUAUUAUUUAGAAAGUGAUGAUCCAAGAGUCAAAGAAAUCGCAUCUGACAUUUAAUUUCAUCAGUCCAUGUAGUAUAGAGGCAGAUUUGCCAUCCUUGUUUGUAUUGGAUAUAAGUUACGCUAAGUCUUAGAAAAAUAAUAGUUCAAUAAGACUUGAAGUAGUAGAUAUUGUUACAGUGGGUGAGGAUAAUAAACUUUACCCCAAGUUUGAACUAUUGAUGAUGUUUGUUUUGGUUAUUAUGGUGAUCCAUUUGUCUUGGUCUUCAAGUAUCAACAAGUUUUG
rnacentral:lncRNA from 1 species